UGGACGUUACUCGCAGAAUAAGCACCGGCUAACUCUGUGCCAGCAGCCGCGGUAAUACAGAGGGUGCAAGCGUUAAUCGGAUUUACUGGGCGUAAAGCGCGCGUAGGUGGCCAAUUAAGUCAAAUGUGAAAUCCCCGAGCUUAACUUGGGAAUUGCAUUCGAUACUGGUUGGCUAGAGUAUGGGAGAGGAUGGUAGAAUUCCAGGUGUAGCGGUGAAAUGCGUAGAGAUCUGGAGGAAUACCGAUGGCGAAGGCAGCCAUCUGGCCUAAUACUGACACUGAGGUGCGAAAGCAUGGGGAGCAAACAGGAUUAGAUACCCUGGUAGUCCAUGCCGUAAACGAUGUCUACUAGCCGUUGGGGCCUUUGAGGCUUUAGUGGCGCAGCUAACGCGAUAAGUAGACCGCCUGGGGAGUACGGUCGCAAGACUANNACUCAAAUGAAUAGACNGGGGCCCGCACAAGCGGUGGAGCAUGU
rnacentral:rRNA from 1 species